UACGUAGGGUCCGAGCGUUGUCCGGAAUUAUUGGGCGUAAAGAGCUCGUAGGCGGCUUGUCACGUCGGGUGUGAAAGCCCGGGGCUUAACCCCGGGUCUGCAUUCGAUACGGGCUAGCUAGAGUGUGGUAGGGGAGAUCGGAAUUCCUGGUGUAGCGGUGAAAUGCGCAGAUAUCAGGAGGAACACCGGUGGCGAAGGCGGAUCUCUGGGCCGUAACUGACGCUGAGGAGCGAAAGCAUGGGUAGCGAACAGG
rnacentral:rRNA from 1 species